ensembl:lncRNA
GGGAGGUGGCCUGACAAUACAGGGUGACACUCUGCCCCUCCAUGGUGACCAAGUCCUUGGGUGUGGAUGACACCCACACAUUGGGGAGUCUCUCUAGAGAGAGGAGGGGACAUGAUAAACUACUUUGUGUUACUCAAAUAAACACAGAUUACAGAUCCAGACUAAAUUCUUAGAAAAAGGUUUCGAAAGGGUUCUUUGCCUGUCCCCAUAGGAGAACCCAUUUUGGUUCCAGGUAGAACCCUUUUUGAUUCCAGGUAGGAUUGUAGAAGGAUAGAAUAGAGUGGGAGAGGGGGGUGUAGAUUGUAGAAGGAUAGAAUAGAGUGGGAGAGGGGGGUGUAGAUUGAAGAAGGAUAGAAUAGAGUGGGAGAGGGGGAGUAGAUUGUAGAAGGAUAGAAUAGAGUGGGAGAGGGGGUGUAGAUUGUAGAAGGGUAGAAUAGAGUGGGAGAGGGGGAGUAGAUUGUAGAAGGAUAGAAUAGAGUGGGAGAGGGGGUUAGAUUGUAGAAGGAUAGAAUAGAGUGGGAGAGGGGGAGUAGAUUGUAGAAGGAUAGAAUAGAGUAGGAUAGGGGUGUAGUUUGUAGAAGGAUAGAAUAGUGUGAGAGGGGCGUGUAGAUUGUAGAAGGAUAGAAUAGAGUGGGAGAGGGGGUGUAGAUUGUUGAAAGAUGGAAUAGAGAGAGGGGGAUGUUGAAGGGUGGAAGCAGACAGACUACAAUGCUGCUGGGUCAUUAUCCUAGCUGGGGGGGGCGGUUACUAUAAACACUGACAUAACUGUGCUGGGUUCUGCUCCGGUGAAAAACAAGUCAAAAUAAUUCAGCCUGGCUGAACUACUUAACUCUCCCUGCAUGCUAUGCUUCUGUCGUCUUAUUGAUUUUCCAACAGGUAGCAUUAACUGCAGUCCCUGACAUAUCUUUGUGUCUCUACAUGAGUAGGGUUUUCUCGCAUAAGUCCAGGAAGCUAUUUGGCGUUGCCUUGGUGUUGGCUGUGUUUGUUCCCCUGGGACGGGAAUAUAAUUAGUGGGUGAAAAAAGUUGAAAAACACAAUCCCCUAUUCUAGCAUCCACAAACAUGCCAUGACAAUUAACCAUUUGUUUCGUGAUAACUAUGAAGUUAAUGGGAGUUUUAUGAUUUAAAAUAACUUCCAGUCACGUACCUACCACAGUCAGGUUUACUGCAUUGCUGUCGUACCUUGUUCCAUUGUAAUAACCUGAACACUUGUAUUCUCCAGAGUCCUUAGUGGUGACAAUUAGAGUCAGAGAUUUGUUGUUAAUAUUCAUAGCUGUCCAUGUGGUCUUGUUCAGACGGUACCAGGUGUAUUUGUUCACAACAAAUGAUACCAUACAAAACAUUUUGACGGUCUGACCAGCAGGCAUGACCGGUGCUCCAAUCUGGAAGAUCAAUUUGGCCCAUUGGCUCUCCUGGAG